GCAAGAUUACAGACAGCUUGGAGACUACAGGGUCUGUUUGAAUAAGAGACUGAAGAACUUUUGGGGACAGGACUUUUCCAUAAGAAAACGUCCUAAUAAGAAGAUAAGGUGACCGAAUAAGGGGAUUACUUGGCAGAGAUAUGAGAGAACUGGGUUCUUGACCCCACUUUGCCAUGAACUUGGGCAGAGGAGCCUUUCCCUGUGGCCACCACUGCCUUCAGCCCAUAAGGGAGUUUUUCCAGGCUACCUCCGAUGAUCACUUAAAGCUCAACAGCUCUUCAUUCAGCUUGUGGUGAGUGUGCCAGGCCUGGGACCCCCACUUUAGGGCAGUGGGGCUCCUCUCUGGUCCAGGACAGGUCUAGAAAUUCUGUCCAAGAGCUUAGGCCUGGACUCAAAGACCC
rnacentral:lncRNA from 1 species